GUCGAAGUGUCCGAGUGGUUAAGGAGCUUGACUCGAAUCAAUCGAAAUCAAGUAGCAUCUGCUGCGCAAGUUCGAAUCUUGUCUUCGACG